rnacentral:rRNA from 1 species
GAUGAACGCUGGCGGCGUGCCUAAUACAUGCAAGUCGAGCGAACGGACGAGAAGCUUGCUUCUCUGAUGUUAGCGGCGGACGGGUGAGUAACACGUGGAUAACCUACCUAUAAGACUGGGAUAACUUCGGGAAACCGGAGCUAAUACCGGAUAAUAUUUUGAACCGCAUGGUUCAAAAGUGAAAGACGGUCUUGCUGUCACUUAUAGAUGGAUCCGCGCUGCAUUAGCUAGUUGGUAAGGUAACGGCUUACCAAGGCAACGAUGCAUAGCCGACCUGAGAGGGUGAUCGGCCACACUGGAACUGAGACACGGUCCAGACUCCUACGGGAGGCAGCAGUAGGGAAUCUUCCGCAAUGGGCGAAAGCCUGACGGAGCAACGCCGCGUGAGUGAUGACGGUCUUCGGAUCGUAAAACUCUGUUAUUAGGUAAGAACAUAUGUGUAAGUAACUGUGCACAUCUUGACGGUACCUAAUCAGAAAGCCCCGGCUAACUACGUG